CAUAACGCUCUGGACAGUUUGUACUGGCUCCAGGAGACUUCAUUUCAGCCAAGACAAACUGUAGUGACCCCUGGAUGAUCUCACCUGCACUUUUUCCUCAGACCAGGAGCCACAAAUGAGAGAAAACGUGCAUUUUUUGUCUUUCGGAGACUGGCUUAGUCACUCAAUCCAAUCAUGUCUAGCUGUGAUGUUUUCCUGCAAAUGACUUAACAUCACUCCUCACGUCUAAAAAGGACUCCAUCAGGAUGCACCACCACACCAGUUUCUGCAGUGAUGGGGAUUAAACCAGGACUGUCUACAUGCUGCAUGCCCAUUCACCCAACUGAAAGCUACAUCUCCAGCCUUCAGCUACUCUUCUAAAAACCUUUUUGUGUCUGGCAAGUGAUGUAGCCUAGCUCCAUUUCACAGAUGUGGACACUGGGACUCUGAGAUUCAUUGGCUAACAGAUGGCCUAUUGUGAACUCAGACUCAGACAUUGCUGGACUAAGAGACCCUUUGGGUCAGAAUCCAUGUUUCUUGGCUGUGGAUCUCUGCAUCUGCUUCCAUCAGUUACUGGAUGAAGGCUCUGUGAUGACCUUAGGGUAUUCACCAAUCUGAUUAGUAGGGAAGGCCAGUUCAGGUACCCUCUCUACUAUAGCUAGUAGUCUAAUCUGGGGUCAUCCUUGUGGAUUCUUAGGAAUUUCCCUAGCACCCAGGUUUCUCCUUUACCCCAUAAUAUCUCCCUCUAUCAUGAUAUCUCUUUCAUUGCCCUCCCACCCCAUCCCAAGCACAAGGCUGAGUUCUGGGGGUCCAGUUGAAGAGAGGGAAGAGGGAUUAUAUGAGCAAGGGCGGAGGUCAAGAUCAUGAUGGAGAAAUCUACAGAGACAACUGAACCAAGCUCAUAGGAACUCGUGAACUUUAGACCGACAGCUGUGGAACCUGCAUGGGACUGGACUAGACCCUCUGCAUAUGGGAGACAGUUGUGUAGCUGGUUCUGUUUGAGGGGCCCUUGGUAGUGUGAUCAGGAUUUAUCCCUGGUGCACGAGCUGGCUUUCUGGAGCCCAUUACCUAUGAUCGGAUGCCUUGCUCACCCUUGAUGCAGCGGGGAGGGGCUUGGUUGUGCCUCAACUGAAUGUACCAGGCUUUGCUGACUCACCAUGGGAGCCCUUUCCCUUUUG